CAGUCGCCGCGGGAAUACGUAGGGUGCGAGCGUUAAUCGGAAUUACUGGGCGUAAAGCGUGCGCAGGCGGUUCGUUAAGACAGAUGUGAAAUCCCCGGGCUUAACCUGGGAACUGCAUUUGUGACUGGCGAGCUAGAGUAUGGCAGAGGGGGGUAGAAUUCCACGUGUAACAGUGAAAUGCGUAGAGAUGUGGAGGAAUACCGAUGGCGAAGGCAGCCCCCUGGGCCAAUACUGACGCUCAUGCACGAAAGCGUGGGGAGCAAACAGGAUUAGAUACCCCAGUAGUCCCUGUCUCUUAUAC
rnacentral:rRNA from 1 species